rnacentral:rRNA from 1 species
GACGAACGCUGGCGGCGUGCCUAACACAUGCAAGUCGAGCGAUGAAGCCCUUCGGGGUGGAUUAGCGGCGGACGGGUGAGUAACACGUGGGUAACCUGCCUUGUAGAGGGGGAUAGCCUUCCGAAAGGAAGAUUAAUACCGCAUAACAUCUUUUUAUCGCAUGGUAGAAAGAUCAAAGGAGCAAUCCGCUACAAGAUGGACCCGCGGCGCAUUAGCUAGUUGGUGAGGUAACGGCUCACCAAGUCAGCGAUGGAUAGGGGUUCU